rnacentral:lncRNA from 1 species
ACAACUUCUGCAUUACAACAGAAGCCACAGAAAUAUCAGAAAUUACAAUGAUUCUAGGAAAAAUAUUGUUUCUCUUUAGGUCUUCAGUGGGUCGCUGAAAAUCAUUGCUGCAAAAGACCAAGUGAUCUGAUAAGAUGCUUGCCAUGGUUCUGUACUGUCAGGUCAUCCUCUGUAGCAUGCACCAAACAUCAAUCAUUAGGACAAUGGACACUUGUCUUUUUACCCUCUGGAGUGUGUGACACAGCCUAGGGAACUAAAUUAGAAUAGCAGAAAAGUAUUAUUCAAUACUCUAUUGCUUAACAAAGAUCAACACUUAUGGUAGAAAUAACCAAAGAUUAAAUCCAGACAGAUGAGCAUCUAGACCAUAUUUGUUAUACGAGACCUCUCGCUAAUCUCUAUGGAAAUGGUUAAGGCAAGUCUUGAGAGGCUGCCAAGCAUUUGUAAUUCAGCAGGAUUGACUCCUGCUGUUGAAGAUGAAGUGCCAUGUUGAAUGAUGAGAAGUCUGGCAAGUCUUCUUGGCAAACUUCCCCAGCAAUAAACCACGGGCACCCUUAGUGGCUUGUACCAGGCUUUCAACCAGGCUGUUUGUCUGACCAUUAUGAGCAAAAGUAUAAAGCUGAGAUAAAGACCUUUUCUUUAAUUUUUAAAACCUCAUCUGAACCAGAAGCAAAUACGUGAUUUAAAGCAAUUGUAAUUAUGUAUUGCUAAUAACUGAUUCUGAGCUCUAGUUAUCAUAGCAAUGUUUAGAGAUGAAAUACUGUGGAUACUUGGUGCCAUUCAAGUAGUUUGUCACAACUUGAAAUAUGUCUAAGAACAGCUCUGCAAAUCAAUAUUAAAGAGUUUCGAUCUGGCUGUUUUGUUACUGCCCAUUGUGAGAACAGACAUUUAAAUCCUACAUUCUGUUGGGUUUUUCACUAUCGGACCAAGUUCCAGAUCAUUAGACAUAACAUUUAGUCAUCAUUUUCAUGCCAACAAUUCCUGGAUGCACUAGAAACAGUUUGCUCAAAGUAUUUCUUUCUGGAAUAAAAAGGAUUUUCACAUAAUAGAUACCUUUUAAUAGAUGAUAACUCAUUGACAGUUUAUAAUUGACUUGAAUUCCUUAAGCAGUUUCUUUACUGACAAACCUUCCCAUCCCUACUCCCACACACACCCAUCACCAGUUUAAGAUAGACCAAUCUAUAAUCUUGCAUAUUUAACUGUGGAAUACAUUCAAUAUGAAGGUGUUGAUGGCUUGAUCUUUAACACUUAAUAUCUGUAUAAUGUUCCUGACUCUGAAUGCACUUAUCAUUUAUAUCAAAUUUAUCUCCAAAGAUUUCAGACAGGAGCUACAAUAAAGCAAACAAGGAAAUCACCAAGCCAAUAUCCCAUCACACAAAAUUGUAAAAUAAGGCUAAUUUUUUUAAAGAUUAAUUUGUUUGAGAGAGAGAGAGAGAGAGAGAGUGAGCAUGAGCAGGAGGAGUGUCAGAGGGAGAGAGAAUCUCAAGUAGACUCCCCACUGAGCAUGUAGACCAAUGCAGUGCUCCAUCCCAUGGCCCUGGGAUCAUAACCUGAGUCAAAACCAAGAGUCGGACACUCAACUGCCUAAGCCACCAAGGCACUCCUUGAAAUUAUUUUAAAUAACAAAUUAUUUAGAGAAUGGAGAAAUAAGUCUACUGAGACUAUGGUGUGGAAUAAUAUAUUUAAAACCUACAUUGAGAUCUAAGUUUCUUGGUAGCAAUAUCUUAAUGGGAAACACAAAGAUUAUCUAAUUUUCAAUGUCUAUAGGAAGAAGAUAUUUUGUUGAUGAUGGUGGUGAUUAUUAUUACUUUGCAGAGGAGUAGAAAAGCCCUUUUAAUUUUUCCUGCUUUUAUAUCCAGUAGAAAUUUCUCACCAAACAACUCUUUUAAAAACAAAACAUGUCAAAUGGAACCCUUCCAAAUCAUAACUCCCUAUGGUCAAAGACAUAUUCAUAACUAGGAUCGUUGCUGAGGAGGAAAUAGUGAAAGUCCCAGGCCAUCCUAGGGAUGGGUAACUGGGCAGCCUAUACUGUUUUCCCCUUCAAUGCAGGCCCACAUUAUGGGCAGAACAGACAGGGACAGAUGUUUCAGUUUAUCAUCUCUUCUAGGUUUCUAAAAGCAGUGAGCCAAUGUCCCAAGCACUGCCUACUCAGUGACAGAAUUAAAAGCAUUACUUUUCCUCAAGGAGAAGGUCCUAUGAGGUGAUCUGUACAAAUUGGAAAGGUGUCUUAAGACAUUCAGGUAGAGCAGACUCAUAUUUGUAGUACAGGUCACUAUUGGGAAGAAUGACAUUUUGAAAUUCAUCUACAGGAAGAAUGAAAUACUGGGAAGAAGUCUAGAGACAGAGGCAAUAUGGAGGAAACUACACAACAAAUGACAGUGUGCUAGGGGUCUAACAAGAGGCCUGAGCAUGCAGGUGAGAUACAAUGCUAAGAAUACAGGAACAAGUACUAUUUGUCCAAGCAACAAAAGGAAAAUCUGACAGCAGGCAGCGGCACUCCCUCCACUUCAAGCCAGGAAUUUAGCAGUGCGAUUCCAGAGCUUUUGGUACAUUGGCAAUACCAGCGUCAAGCUACAUACCAAAAGACCAGAGUUUUGCUUAGAUUAACAAUAAGCUCUACUUAAAAUGCCUUAUCAGUUAGAUAGCCCAAAAUGUCAGCCCUGACUCAGAAGCAAUUGGCAAAAUAAUAAGCAGAGUUCUUACCAUGCUUUUGAUACUUAGAGAAAUUUAAAAAUUUUAAGAAGAAUUGGAGUUGAGUCUUAUACAAAAGCAAACAAUUAUACGUAUCUUAGGCUAAGGUAAAGCAGAAAUAUAAAAAAUGCCAUUUUAUCAAUUAUUUGAGCCUCACAAUCUCUAAGGUACAAUGCACAGUUUGAUUUUUUAUUUUGCUUUCUUGCAGGGAAGAAUCAAAGCCCCCAACACGUAAAUCCCAGGGAGCAGAUUAAGUAGCCAUGUGCUUUCUGAAAAUCCUCAAAGCACACAUUUGAAAAAGUGUAAUUCCUGGGUGGAAUCUUGACUAUUUCCUGUUUCCUAAUCUAGUUAGCUUCCUUUUUGGUGGAUGCCUUCAUCUUGUUAAGACCGGAGUUGUGAGUGAGUUUACUGUAAUAAAAUUCCCCAAGACAGCAAAGAGAGAACCAUUCAAAAUACUCUAGAUUGCUAAAAGUUACAAAAAAAUUAGGAGUGAGACCAGGUCAAGAUUUUCAAUCUCCGUAGUUCUGUACAUCGGAGUCUAUCAGUUACUGCUGACAGCUUUUCCAGAAGAUGAAUGCCACCUUUCCUCUCAGUGGUAGAGAAGCCCUGCCCCACUGUGACCGCAAAGUUACAGAUUGGCUGAGGGUCAGAAAAUCAUCUAAUUUUAUGACAGUCCAAUGCCUUUAUGUUAUAAAGAAGCAAACACCCAAGAUUGCAUGGUCUUGCCAUUUUGGAUAGAAUUAAGACAAGCUUCCAACCAAUAAAAUACUGCAGCAAAAACUAUUAAAGGUGAAUUCUACCCUAAUUCAUAGCAAUGUUAUAAUAUAUAAUUUCUAGAAGGAAUAAGAAAAUAUAAUACUAAAAUCUCAUAUUUACUGGAAGUAUAAUAAUACUCCCAAGUGGUGAUAAUCCUUCCAUAUGACAGAUUUAGGAUUCACUAUUUCUAGCUCCUUUGAGCCACUGUAUACACUCCUACCCCCAUACCUUCCUUAUGGCUUGUGGGGGAAAAAUAUAAUUUUUAAGUAAUUGAAGAAAAUUAUAAUAAAUUUACAUGUAAGCGUACAAGAAAAGAAACAGAAUUCCAUGUCUAAAUUUUAAACACAAAAACAAGAAUUUAUUAUUUAAGAAUAACCCAUAUACUCAUACAAAUAUAAUCUUAUCAGGUUUUUUAUUGAACACUUUUCCAGGCCCUUAUUGUACAGUUCUAGGUAGAAUCUUGCAUACGGUUAAUAUCUGAAUGAAUGAAUCAGCUACUAGAUGUUAUUCAUAAACAUAAAAUGUCUUCUUCUGGAUAUAUUAAGAUUGAGAUAAAAAGAAACCCUUUGUACAUUCACUAAAUAUGAAAACAUGACUAAAACGUGUUAUGUCAUUCAGGUAUACAAUUAAUAUCUUAUAUGUAUAGCAUAGAUAACCUUUCAAGUGCCUACCAUCAAGCACAAUGACAUUUACUUUUGAAAUGCUAUCUCUCUGUCCUUUAAACCAUGACCGAGUUGUCUUGAUCCUUUAAAUAAAGGGACUUUAGGUCACUGGAAAAAAAAAAAAAGGCGGGUGGCUUAUCUUUAGGAAAAGAAAAACUCAGUCAUUUCAGGACACCAUCAGCUUAAAAGAAGGCAGCACUUUUUUAGGAGUAUGUUUGACAUUUUCCACAUAUUUCAAGAAGGUCUUAGUGAUCUAAAAUUGUAGCAGAUGGAAUAGCAGCAGGUGUGAACUCAGCAAAUAUACAAGAGACUAGAUUCUAAAGUAGGCCAGCCACUUAAGGCCUUUGACAAUUGAGGUUAGCAAAUUGAUAGACUAGAAAAGGUAUCAAAUAGUGCAUGUAUGUGUAUGUGUAUAAUACAUUAAAAAUUAUGGAGUUUUCUAUGUGACAUGUCAUGGAUCUAGAUUCUAGGACAGACAAUAAGCAUGGGAAAACAGAGGCCAGAGAUACCAGAGUAAAAAGAACCCUUAUUCCCAGCUAUGGUGCAAAUUAACUCAGUUACUGUACUUUUAACCCUUGGAAUAUACUUCUCUAAAGGGAAAUUCUUAUUUAUUUUGACAACCUUAUCCCAAAUAUCUGUUCUGUCAGCUAUUUUGAAAGUGUUUUAAAAAAUGAAAACAUGCUAUUUUUAAAUCAGAAUCUUUGGGUUCAAUUCUUACCUCUAUCACAUUCUACCUAUGUCAUCCUAAGAAAUAUCUUAGUCCCUCUGAAAAUAACAUGUAAAUCGGAAAUAAUGGAACUUAGAUACUUUGUUGUAAAGAUUAAAUAAACUCUACUAUAGUUAAAUUACUCUCAAUAUCUAGUAUGUUUUCAUUUCCAUUUUUUCUUCAUUGUUCUAAGAAAAGUCAAAAUUAUGAGUAAGAUGUA